AUUGAACGCUGGCGGCAGGCUUAACACAUGCAAGUCGAACGAGUGGCGGACGGGUGAGUAAUGUCUGGGAAUCUGGCUUAUGGAGGGGGAUAACGACGGGAAACGGUAGCUAAUACCGCGUACCCUAGGAUGAGCCCGAGUGGGAGUAGGUCGUCGGUGGGGUAAUGGCCUACCAAGCCGACGAUCUCUCGCUGGUCUGCGAGGCUUACCAGCCACACCGGAACUGAUACACGGCCCGGACGCCUACGGGAGGCAGCAGGGGGGAAUAUUGCGCAAUGGGUGCAACCGGACGCAGCCAUGCCGCGUGAAUGAAGAAGGCCUUCGGGUUGUAAAGUUAUUUCGGUGAGGAGGCGUUAAUCACAGAAGAAGCACCGGCGAACGCCGUGCCAGCAGCCGCGGUAAUUC
rnacentral:rRNA from 1 species